ensembl:lncRNA
AUGCCUGACAGAAUGACACGACCCGUGCCAAGAAGACACGCUUUUGACCCAGUGGACUCGGACCUUUUUGAGCGGCAGGAGGCAGCGCUCUACUUGUGGGCGGAAAAGCUUAAGGAGAGACAGCGGCUCUUCGCGGAGCGAGAGCACGUCUUCGAGGGUACUCGCUUGGCUCUGGACGGGCCUUGGAGACGCCGCGUUCACCCACCUUCUAACUUCCCUGCACCAGAGCAUCUGCCGGGAAGAGUGGGCGUUUCGCGCCGCACUUCGGCGGCUCCCUCUCCCACGGGUCCGCUCCUCGCUCACACGCCACCUGCCUCAUUCACCAGACCUUCAACCUCGCCAUGGCACAGCGGCUCCGCCUCCCACCUCAGCUCAACGGAGGCUCCCGUGCCAGAGGCUCGGCUGUGUACCCCGCCCACUGUCUCUUCCCGGAGAAAGCAUCGCACACGCCGCCAUAACAUGGACCAUUUUCAGCAACUCCCAGUGGUGAGUUCCAGUGACUGUUUUCCACCCUCUCCAUUUAAUUUUUCACCUAAAAUAAAUAAUAGACUCAUUUCUGAUUCAUGGGGAGUUUCCCUUCUAGACGAUGAUGUGGACUGGGAAGUAUUUUUCUGCUCUGCUCCCCCAAAGACUGUUCAGUUAAAGACUGUAAAUAGUGGUGGCAGAAGGACCAGAAUAAUCCCUGAUAAACCUGUCAGUAUCACACACCCAGUCACUAUUUCCACCCCUGUCAGUCAGCCUACACCCAUCACUCAGCCAUUUCCUGCCAGCACGGCGGCCUGGAUUCGGCCUUCUUCUUCGACUGUUUCACCUUCUCAGGUGAAGACAGCUACGGCUCAGCCUGUCCCUACAGCACCACCUCAGAUGGCUAGGGCCCAGCCAGCAACCUCUCCUGUGCCAGCUCCCAGGACGAGGGCAGCUGUGACCCAGUCCACCUCCACACCCGCUCCUGUUUCUCGGGUGGGGGUGCUAGCUGACCUGUCCGCUGCUCAGGCACCAGCUUUACUAUCCCAGGCUGUAUCUCAGCCAUUAGUCACACCAACCUCAGCUCAGUCGUUAGCCUUGCCAACCUCGGUUCAUCCCUUAGCUUCCCCAGUCCAGUCAGUUUACACGCCUGCUUUUCAGCUUCCAGCCCAGUCAAUCCAGUCCCCUGUAGGUCAGUCUCCUCCUGUCCUCCAGUCCCCUGUGGUUCAGUCUCCUCCUGUCCUCCAGUCUCCUCCUGUCCUCCAGUUCCCUGUAGUUCAGUCUCCUCCUUUCCUCCAGUUCCCUGUAGUUCAGUCUCCUCCUGUCCUCCAGUUCCCUGUAGUUCAGUCUCCUCCUGUCCUCCAGGCCCCUGUAGCUCAGUCUCCUGUCCUCCAGCCUGUCCAGUCUGUUGUCCAGUCUUCUGUAGUCCAGUCAGUUCAGUCUGUCAUUCAGUAUCCUGUAGUUCAGUCGCCUGUUGCCCAAUCUAUUCAGUCUCUGGUCCAGUCAUUCAUUCUCCAUCCUGUUCAGUUUCCUGACCUGCAGCCACAGCAUCCAGAGGUAGCUGUGAGCUCGGCCGCUUCUCAGCCAGGGGUUUCCGCAUCCGCUGACCCGGCCGCUUCUCAGCCA